UGGGGAAUAUUGCACAAUGGAGGGAACUCUGAUGCAGCGACGCCGCGUGAACGAAGAAGGCUUUCGAGUCGUAAAGUUCUUUUAUAUGGGAAGAUAAUGACGGUACCAUAAGAAGAAGCCCCGGCUAACUACGUGCCAGCAGCCGCGGUAAUACGUAGGGGGCUAGCGUUGUCCGGAAUCACUGGGCGUAAAGGGUUCGCAGGCGGAAAUGAAAGUCAGGUGUAAAAGGCAGUAGCUUAACUACUGUAAGCAUUUGAAACUGCAUAUCUUGAGAAGAGUAGAGGUAAGUGGAAUUUUUAGUGUAGCGGUGAAAUGCGUAGAUAUUAAAAAGAAUACCGGUGGCGAAGGCGACUUACUGGGCUCAUUCUGACGCUGAGGAACGAAAGCGUGGGUAGCAAACAGG
rnacentral:rRNA from 1 species